rnacentral:rRNA from 1 species
CACCCUGAUCCAGCAAUGCCGCGUGUGUGAAGAAGGCCUGCGGGUUGUAAAGCACUUUAGAGGGGGAGGAAAGGCUUUGGGCUAAUACCUCAAAGAUAUGACGUUACCCCUAGAAUAAGCACCGGCUAACUCUGUGCCAGCAGCCGCGGUAAUAAUC